UGUACUCUAGACUUUUUUCAGAUUCACUCCAUGGCCUUGGUCUUCCUGUUGUGCUAUAGGCUUUUGACUCUCUCUCUAUGGGCUUCGGGCUAACGCCUGCAAUCCUCCACAAAAUCCUCCAACAAUGAGAUUGAGUGUCUUACUUUCUUUUAAGACUACAGAGGUACGUAAAGUAGAGGUCUGUCAAUUCAACUAUCUCUGAAUACUUUUCUAGGUGACCAAGACAUAGACUAAGAUUCCUUUGUAUUAGGGCACUUUCCCAUCUCCAGCCAAGGACUUCUUCUCUAACAGUUGUGACUCCAAGGACAACGACUUCAUCUUCUCCCUGUUGAUGCCGCUGCCGCGAGAUAUAGCUUCAUCCUCGACAUGGUUUCUUUUUCUGGAUCUGAGAUCCAUUUCCCUUCCUCCUUUUUCUAGAUCUGACAUGGUGGCUUCGUCCUCUUCUUCUCUUUGCACCGACUCUCCUUCCCUCACACUUUGUCCUCAUUGGUAACUCUUAUUUUCACUCUUAUUCACCAUUGCGAUUUUCAGCGGUGGCCCUUCCUUGUCGUUUCCUCCUUUGCAUCGCUGCCACUAUCAUUCUCUCUUUCCUCUUUCUUCACCAACAACAUAAAAAUAUAAAUUCUUAAUUAAAAAGGAGAGAUUGUUUCUGUGAAGAAGAUAUGGGUAGGGGUUAGGAAGGAGGUAGAGAGUUGAGAUGUUGAAUUGGAGAGAGGAGUUGUGGUGUAGAUCUGGAAAAAUAAUCUAGAUCUGAUAGCAUAGGAAAGAGACACGCAACAAUGUCCAAUGGAGGGGAAUUACAUUAGGAAAAAGAAAAAAAAUGUGUUAAUUAAAAAAGAUUAAUUUAAGUUCUUUAAAAAAUUAAUUUAAAGAUAUAAAAAAUUAAUUUGCACCAUGUUUUUUACUUUUUUAAAAAAAAAACUUUUUUUCACAUGUAAUCCUAAUCAAACAAAAGAUUAUACUUGACAUCACACAUGAUAUGAUUGUGUAGUCGGUUAACAGUCACAUAGGCAGUUAACAAUUAUGGAUUAACUUUAGAGAUUAAAACAAAAUUUUUGAAAUAUUAGAAACCCAAUUUGAAAGAAAAAUUUAUCAAGAAUCAAACACAAAAAAAUGUAUUUAUCAAAAACCAAAAACAGAUUUAGACCUGUACAAUUUACACUAUCUAAGAAAGAAUAAAGUUGCACCUAUCCUCAAAUAAUUUUUUAACAAAAACUCUUUUCUUAUGCGUAUUUUAGUUGUCUACGAGGUUUAAAUUUUGUGGUGUUGUUGAACUAUCGUGGUUGAAAAAUACCAAGCAUUUUUUUCUUUACAUAAUGCUAAACAUUAUGAGUUUUUUUUUAUGAUAGCAAGACAGCGUAUUUAAUUGCAAUCUUUAAAGGUUAGCUGUUGCAUUAAAUAGUAUAAAGGAUGUUGAUGUUACUAAUCCUAGAAGAAGAGCCAUUGUUGCAACGGGUUUUGGGGGGAUAUUAAAAGUAUCGGCAACCGUAUUACCAGAGAAGUUAUGUAAGUGGCUGGUUGAUAGAUUUGACAUCGAGUCUUGUUCACUCAAUGUGCAUGGUGUAAAAGUUGGUUUUUGUCCCGUGGAUGUGACCAAUGCGCUGGGAAUUUUUUAUGGUGAAGAGGCAAUAUCGUCUAGGAUACAAUCAACUAGGAUAGAGAAGUUGAGAUCCUUAUACAACCUCCCUAGAUGGUCUAUCAAUUUGGGCAAGUUAUUGAAAGAUCCAUAGAAGAAUUCACCGUGAAGUUUCUGUUGUAUGUCUUAGGCUGUUUUUUGGUACCGACAUUCAAGGAAAUCGUCCAUGAAGAAAUAGCAUGUUCUUUCGGUAAUCCGGCAACCUACAUAAGGGACUUCUUAGUGGAAGGAAUUAAAAAUUACAGGCGUAAGAUUACUAUGGAGUAUUCUGGCUGCAUUUACUUGCUAUUGAUUUUAUAUGCUGAACAUGUUUUAUAUGGUUCUAUACCGAGAUGGACAUCCCUAGAAGAGCUCCCAACUCAUUAUUGGAACAAUAAGUUAUUAAAUAAGCUUGCAGAAACUAUUGAGAGGGAAGGCGGAUUAGGAGUUAUGACAGUAAAGGUACUUGCUCAGACAAAGUAUAAUGAACAUUCUCUCAUGCCAAACUGUGUUCAGGACCUGUCCAAGCGAGUGAAUAUGUUGGAAGGCACAGCGACUUCACAAUCUUGGUUGUUGCAGUACUAUUAAAAAAUGUAGACUCAAAUAACUAAAACUCCAACCACCAAUAUGACAAAUGACCAGGUAACUGGCUUAGACAAGUAAGAUAGAUUGGCGGCGAAUCCAAGCAUGGCAUGUGAAUCUCUUGUAUCGAAUGUCUUCUUGAAAAUAGGUCCAUACAUGGAGGCCAGGUGGUGUGACCUGUGGCCAUGAAAUAAUGCAAUGAUAUUACAAGUUAUUAUAGUAUGUUGGCGAUAAUGGAUAAGUUCUAAAGGCUUUAACACCAAAGAGUGUGGUAACAACCAUUGUUAAGUUCUAAAGGUUAUCAUGAAUACUUGUAGAUUGAAAAUGACUUCCGCUUCAGGAGAAGCUACCAUGGGGAAGAUGAAGUCCUAUAUUGGAUAGGAAUGGAAAAAUUGAUCCACAAACAUGUAGUCUUAAGAUUUUGGGUUAAAGUAUCGUGUCAAGUUCACCUAUAUGGUGUGUUUGAGGCCCAUUAAUAAAGAUUUUCUAGGUGUUUUAUUUCCCUUGGUUUCCCAAAAUAUCCUAUGCACAGUAAGAGUCCAAUACACUAUAUUUUUCUAAAUGAGGUUAUUAUGGUUUGAGUUGGUAAACG